rnacentral:rRNA from 1 species
CCGGGAGAAGAAGCACCGGCUAACUCUGUGCCAGCAGCCGCGGUAAUACAGAGGGUGCAAGCGUUGUUCGGAAUUAUUGGGCGUAAAGCGCGUGUAGGCGGCAUGGCAAGUCGGGUGUGAAAGCCCUCAGCUCAACUGAGGAAGUGCGCCCGAAACUGCUGCGCUUGAGUACCGGAGAGGGUGGCGGAAUUCCCCAAGUAGAGGUGAAAUUCGUAGAUAUGGGGAGGAACACCGGUGGCGAAGGCGGCCACCUGGACGGUCACUGACGCUGAGACGCGAAAGCGUGGGUAGCAAACAGGAUUAGAUACCCUGGUAGUCCACGCCGUAAACGAUGAGAACUAGGUGUCGCGGGAGUUGACCCCUGCGGUGCCGGAGCUAACGCAUUAAGUUCUCCGCCUGGGAAGUACGGUCGCAAGACUAAGACUCAAAGGAAUUGACGGGGGCCCGCACAAGCGGUGGAGUAUGUGGUUUAAUUCGAUGCAACGCGAAGAACCUUACCUGGGUUUGACAUGUCUGGAAUCCUGCAGAGAUGUGGGAGUGCCGCAAGGAGCCAGAACACAGGUGCUGCAUGGCUGUCGUCAGCUCGUGUCGUGAGAUGUUGGGUUAAGUCCCGCAACGAGCGCAACCCUUGCCCUUAGUUGCCAGCACGUAAUGGUGGGAACUCUAGGGGGACUGCCGGUGACAAACCGGAGGAAGGUGGGGAUGACGUCAAGUCAUCAUGGCCUUUAUGCCCAGGGCUACACACGUACUACAAUGGUCGGUACAGAGGGCUGCAAACCCGCGAGG